rnacentral:lncRNA from 1 species
GUCUGCAACCUACACCACAGCUCACAGCAACGCCGUAUCCUUAACCCACUGAGCAAGGGCAGGGACCAAACCCACAACCUCAUGGUUCCUAGUCGGAUUCGUUAACCACUGCGCCACCACAGAACUCCUGAGGUUUUUAAGUCUCUGAGAAACAAAAGUUAUAGAACAGUGUUGUCCAAUAGAAAUAAAAUGUCAACACAUAUGUAAUUAAAAUUCUUCUAGUACCAACCACAAAAAAAGGAAACAUAUAAAAUUAAUUUGAAUAAUGUGCACUCUUUAACCAAAGAUGUUCAAAAUAUUGUUUCAACAUAUAAUCAAUAUUUUUAGUCAAUAUUUUAAAAUCAUUAACUAUUAGUGAGAUAAUUUAUGUUCUUCUAGUCCUUCAAAGUCUUCAGUAUUUUACAUUUAUAGCAUCUCUCAGAUUGGACUGGCCACAUUUCAAGUGUUCAACAGCCAUAUGUGGCUGGUGGCUACUGUACUGGAGAAUGCAGAGGUUCCUUUUCAAUUCCAAAAAGUUAAGUUUGAAUGUAACUUUAGAGCUAGAAUUUACUUAAAUCACAGAAUUAACAACAAUUCUUUUAGUUAUUAGUUAUUUAACUAAUGCUUUGGUGGUCUAUAUAUUUUAUAUUUUUAUAAUAAAUAUGUUUUUGAAAGCCAAGCUAAAUUGCUCAUUUGUGUCUUUUUAAUCUGGGCGAUUAUUCAAGUGGAGAAAUGUCUAAUCACAAGGUUUUUAUUUCCUAAUAGAGGGCACAGUUAUAAGAAUUGUAGCUUAAAUAUUUAAGAAAAAAAAUGGCUCUUUGUUGCGUUGCACAUUUAGCCUUAGUAAACAUCACACACAACAAACCAUGCUGAUUUUCUUUAUGUGGUAGUACAAACAAUCCACUGUAUGAAUUUUAUAUAAUUUAUUUAGCCACUAUCAUAUGAUGAAAUUGGCUUGUUUCCAAUUUUUGCUCUGAUAAUACUGAAAUGAACAUCUUCACAUGUAGAGUAUUUUCCUGAUCACUAAUUUUAUAGAAAUAAUUUCAUACCUUUUCAUAGAAAAUGUAAAUGAUUUAUAAAACAUAUCCCAAUUUUGGAAAUACUAACUGAAGAAAAAACUUUUUGAAUCUAUAAAAGUAUGGAUAUUAAAAUCCUUUUGCAUGUUUUCUAGAAGUUAGCAAGUGACUACUGCAUAAAAUUGCAACACAGGCAUUGAAAUAUAGCUAAACUAAAGUAGUCUCUGACAAAUUUGGCAAUCCAAGAGUUUAAGAUAUUUCAAAAGACUAGCCUGAAAUAAAUGAAUGUUCCUGAGGUGCUGUUAAAUAUCCUCCAUAUAAUAUUUAUUUCAUCUAAAACCUCUAAACUUGUCUACAGGAAGAACUACUCACCAAAGUAACUUGUUCAGAGUAAUUCAUAUAACUCUUCUUACCAAAUGGGUCAAUAAAGCAGAUAAACAUAAUAGUUCAAGUUACCAUAACUAUACCGGUAGUUGCUGCCGUUUAAUACAGAGGUGACCUCAACUGUUAAGGGAUAUAGUACUGUUUGCCUCUUUAGUAAAUCAUCUUCAUUUGCUUAGCUGCUUUGGUAAAUGACCCUUGCUUCCUCUCUGUUGAGGAACUUUUUGCUACAAUUUCGAAUAUGCUGCCUCUCAUAGUUAUGUAAUCAAACUAUAUAUUCACCACAAAAUAUAAGAUCUGCAGGUUCUAGGCUGAAAAUAAAUGCAACCUACUGCUAAAAAUACUUAAAAGGUGGGUGCUCUAGGUACUACAUUUCUCAAUGAUUACAAGUUUUUUAUUUUAUUUUUUGGCUUCCUGUGAGUCUCUUUGGUUUAUUGAGAUUAGAAAUCUAACUGCUGGGUAGAUAAAAUGCUAAAUAAUUUUUUAAGCCCAAAGGAAAACAAAGACAGUGGCAUGAAGGAAGAAUUAGGUAAAGUGAAUAAAACACGGACUUUGAAUCUAGCUCUUCUGCUUAGUUUCUAGUUAUAUGAUUUGGGGUAAAUCUCAAACAUUCUGACCCUUAGUUCCUCAUUUGUAAAAUGAAAAUAACACCUACAAAACUUUUAGCACAAUUCUUGGCACAUUGUAGAUAAUUCAAAGAUAAUUAUUUAUCAAGUUAUUAGAAUUAUGAACCUUUAUAUUAAAAAGUACCUAUAAUAAUUAUAAUGUACCUGUAAGUUAAACCUCAAUCAAUGGAUAGAAACUGACUCAGUUGAAGGGGGAAUCUACCAGCAGAUGUUUUCACAAAAGGCAGCGAGAGGGCAACACUUGAGAUUAUCUUCAUGAAAUAGUAGAAUAAGUUAUAAUAUUCACAAGAAACAUAAUGGCCUAAGCUGUUUUCUGUGAAAGAGAUAAUGUUUAAGACAUUUAAAAAGAAAGUUAAAAGAUAUAACAAUGAGUAAGCUUUAAGGUUUCCUGAAAAAGCUUUACAAAUAGCAAACUACUCUGACAGGGAAGGAUCUAGGGGAAAAAAUAUGUAAAUGCCCAGGAAUGACUACUUGAUUGACAUCUUUGUGGAAAUAAGGGAUACUCAGGAGUAUUUGGGAAAGCUAAGAUCCUUCCAAUAAGAAUGUGUGAUGUUAGAAUGAACAUAAAGUUAUUUUGUUAAUUAGCUAAUUAAGUUUAAGAAUUCAAGAAGAUUGAGUGGAUUAAAGGCACUAGAAGACCAUUUAAAAGGUCAAUAAAUGAGGAAAUAUGCAGCUGAACGUGAAGAUAAAUAGUGAAGUAGAUCUUUAGAAAUGUAUGUAUGCUUGUUAGAAAUAAUGCACUUUAUUUAUUUAUUUAUUUAUUUUAUUUAUUUAUUUAUUUUGUCUUCCUACCUUUUCUAGGGCUGCUCCUGCGGCAUAUGGGGGUUCCCAGGCUAGGAGUCUAAUUGAAGCUGUAGCCGCUGGCCUACGCCAGAGCCACAGCAACACCAGAUCCCAGCCCUGUCUGCAAGCUACACCACAGCUCAUGACAACGCCGGAUCCUUAACCCACUGAGCAAGGCCAGGGAUCGAACCCUAAACCUCAUGGUUCCUAGUCAGAUUCGUUAACCACUGAGCCACAAUGGGAACUCCUGCAUUUUAUUUAUUUACUUAUUUAUUUUGGCUGCACCCACAGCAUGAGGAAAUUCUUGGACCAGGGAUCGAACCCAUGCCACAGUUGUGAUCCAAGCCACAGCAGUGACAUUGCCUGAUCCUUAACCCACUGAGCCACCAGGAAACUCCUGAAAUAACACACUUAUAAAUAAGUCAGGAGUUCCGAGUUAUGGCUCAGUGGUGAUGAACUUGACUAGGAUCCAUGAGAACGUAGAUUCAAUCCCUGGCGUCACCCAGUGGGUAAAGGAUCCAGCGUUGCCAUGAGCUGUGGUGUAGGCCAGCAGCUGCAGCUCUCAUUCAACUCCUAGACUGGGAACUUCCAUAUGCCACAAGUGAGGCCCCCCCACACAAAAAAAGUAAGAUUUAAACCAUUCAGAAUAACUGCUAGAUCACAUGAAAAGAAGUAAAACAUUAAACAAUAAACAGGUAUUAUUAAAUGAUUCUCAGAAUUGUUAAAAUUGUAAGGAAGACUUUAUUCUAGACUAUGACAAUAGGGGUGAGAAAUUGUGCUCAACUCCAAAUACAACAAAGACAAGUGGAAAUUUAUAGCCAAUGAGUAAAUUAAAAAUGUCAGUGGAUGGAAAAUUUCCAAGGAAAGUGUCUCAACAUUAGUUGAGUGCUCAAAUGAGCUUGCGUAAAGUUAGGUCAAAGAGAGAAUCUUUGUUGGUAUAUAUAUUUAACUGUUGGUUUGCUUCUUCUCAAUUGAUGACAUUUGACUUAUAUUACUGAAAUAAAGCUAUUUCAAUAUUAUAGCAACUUUGAAAGUAAUUCCUUAGUAAGUUUCAUAACAUCAUAUCUCAUUGAUAUAAUAAGCUCAUCAGCCAGUACCACCUGGAACACCUUUAUAAAUCUAACCAUAGCAAGAGGGAGACAGGGAAGGGUACUGAAAGGGUUUGGAGUGCUGGAGUUAGUCACAGGGGAUCUUGGCCAACACUGGUCAGAAUGUGUAAACUGGACCAGUCUUUGUCACAAUCAAUGACUGUAUUUUCAGAAGUCAUAGCACUGUGGGAAAUUACUGUUGGAUCAGUUUGUCUGUGGAAUUUUUUCUAGAACAUACAAGUCCGAAGAAAUUGGCGUUAAAAGUUUGACUUUAGGAGACCAAUAUAACAAUCUGUAAUCACAAUUUGGUUGAGUUUAACUGAUUUGCCAGUGCACUUUACAAGGCAUAGUUUCUGUCUAAUCCUACUUCAUUCCUCACAACUUAAGCUUCCUUUCCCCUCUACUUUAUCAGCGAUACUGUUUUAAAAGGUUUAAUUUGCCGCCAUCUAGUGGACAUACACUUUCAUUUUUACAUUUAAGUUAAAAGAAACAGAUUCAAGACGUUUUAAACAGAAUUUACGUGCUUGUUACAUUUUUUACUUAUCUUUCUUGCAGGAAAAUAUUUUAAAUUCCUUUUAACCACAAAAUUAUUUCAUGUUCCUAGUCAUGCUUCCAGUUCUCCAUGAGAGCUGAAUUGGAAUUACUGAUUAUAUUGUGUACAAUAGUAUAUUUUUGUUUAUAUCAUGGUAGCUUUUAUAACAAUGCAUUAUUAUAUUUGUAAAACUUGAGUUUUAAAGCCAUUUUUUAAAAAAUAACUCUUUUAAUAAGGAUUUUAAAAUGAUUUUAAUCAGGAAUAUCUGAUCUGCACAAUUUAAAGCAGACAUUGACUGAAUACAAAUCAGUAGCCAAUGGAGCUGAACUGGCCCCAAAUCAAAUUUUAGCACAUUGAUUGGCAUUUUAUGUAGGCAGUAAUUUGAUUGGGGGAAACAUCUAUCACCUUUCUCUUAUUCUACAGAGGGGUCUUCUCCUACAUUCCUCAGAAGGAAACAUUGAGGAUUACCUCUGGUUGCUCCCUUCACCUCAUUAUUUGACUACUUCCCAAGAAGAGGGGUUGAUUUGGAAAACUGGUGAACUUAAUGAAAGGACAUUAAGCAUGCAGGACCCUGGCCGGUAGUCAUCUGUUCUCUCUACCUAUGACACGGUAAGCUCCAUUCAGUGGGAAGAAGUAAGAAGCAUAUUUCAUUUUCAAGUCUUAAUUGUGCUCUUCAAUAUAGCUUUCCCCUGCAGUACAGCUGUAUUUUGCUCCUUACUGCACUUCUGUUUUUACUUUUUAAAAAUAUAUUCAGAAUUCAAAGGCAAAAAGUGUGUGUAAUUAACGCUACCACAAAACCCAGUAUUUUACGUAUGUGUGAAAUAGGACAGUAAUUGAAUGAGAGGAAGUGAAAUCAAAAGUAAAAAUUCUCUUUUUCUGUGGAAUUAGGGGAUGAGUCAUAAAUAGAGAAAAAAGAUCUUUGGUAAGCCAAGCAAGCAGAAGAGAACUACCGAAAAAGUAUUGAAGUAAAUACCGGAUCUGAGAGAAUAACCAUUUAUUCAGCCAAACUGACUAUCCUGAAAUACAGGUAUUUUCAAGAAAUUUAAAGCAGGACGAAACUUCAUAUUCUUAGAACUUUUUGACCUAAUUCAAGGUUCUGGGAUAUAUUAUAAAAGCAAAGUUAUUUUCUUUAUUUUACUUUUCUUUACAUCUCCCAUUAGUAAAAUAAAGAACCUAAAGGCCAGUGAAACAAAGUUGGAAAGAAUAGAAAUUUAACAUUUAGUGACCCAUUACAUGUCACACUAAACAAUACACUGAGUGUUAGCCCAUUUCCUUUUACCCUCCUUCCUCUGUCUGCCAUUCUCUUUUCUCAAGGGGGCUGGGCCUGCAGGCUACAGUUCCCAGGUUUUGUAAUCCACUGCUCUCUGUUAGGUUUGGCCAGUGGAAAUGUAAGAAGAAGGGAAAACCACAGUAUUUCUCUUUCCCUGCCUAACAGUUUCUCUGCCAACAGCUGCAUGUCCCCAUGGACCCAGUUUCUGCCACUCAAAACCAGUCCCUGGGCUUCAGGAACACUGCGUUCUUGUCUCCCUCCAGGGUGGUGCAGCUUCCUGCUGGUGCUAAUCUCUGCAGUGCCUCAUUGUCCCCUGUUUGAUUUCUUAGUCUUCUCACCACCUAUUUAACCAAUUCCUGGUAAUAACCUCUUUUAAAAAAUUGUAGCGUGCUCUCUGGUUUCUGUUUUCUCUUAGGACCCUGACAAUAUAUACAAUAUGUACAUAUACAUAUAUGUGUAUGUAUAUAGUUUGAUUCUGAUUCUGAUUCCAUCUCUAAUUCCCUCCUAGGAAAGCAUCUUUGGUGAGAUUGAGGAAAGUAACAGAGAUUCUUUGGGGAUCAUAAUUUGGUUUUUGAUGAUCAUAAGCAUCAAGAAAAGGUCCGUCUUAGCAAGAGAAAGGUUUGAUUUAUAUAUGUUACAGUUUGAAUCUCUAAAGAAUCUGCACCAUCGCUUAUCUGACCAGUUAAUAGCAUCCACUAAGGGGAAGGACUCUGCAGACAGAGGAGAAGGAAGAAGGACUGGUUGGGAUACUGGUGGGCCAGGGAGACUGGCACUGAAGAUGAAGUAUGGACAGAAAGACUUCUUCACUGUCACUCAAUCUCUUCAUCAUAUUUCAUUGUCUCCCCAGCUCUGGGAGGGAGAGAGGACAUAGGUAACCCAGACAUUUACCAGCUUCACUCCCCACAUGAAUUUCUAGGAUAUUUUUAGGGAAUAGUAACGCAUUCUACAAAUCUCUAAUGUAAAAAUGUU